rnacentral:rRNA from 1 species
GUGGUAGGAGAGCGUUCCAAUCAGCGUCGAAGCCGUACCGGUAAGGAGCGGUGGAGCGGUUGGAAGUGAGCAUGCAGGCAUGAGUAGCGAUAAAAUACGUGAGAAUCGUAUUCGCCGUAAACCCAAGGUUUCCUACGCGAUGCUCGUCAUCGUAGGGUUAGUCGGGUCCUAAGCAAAGUCCGAAAGGGGUAUGCGAUGGAAAAUCGGUUAAUAUUCCGAUACCGAUAUCAGUGUGCGACGGAAGGACGCUUAAAGUUAGUGGAGCUAGCGGAUGGAAGUGCUAGUCUAAGGAAGUAGGUUGAGUUAUAGGCAAAUCCGUAACUCUUUAUCCGAGAUCUGAAAGGCUUCUGACGCUCUUCGGAGUAGAUGAAGAAUCCAUGAUACUAUCGAGCCGAGAAAAGUUUCUAAGUUUAGCUGAUAUCGCCCGUACCGUAAACCGACACAGGUGGGUGGGAUGAGUAUUCUAAGGCGCGUGGAAGAACUCUCUUUAAGGAACUCUGCAAAAUAGCACCGUAUCUUCGGUAUAAGGUGUGCCUAGCUUCGUUAAGAAUUUACUUCGUAAGCGAAGAAGGUUACAACAAAGAGUCCCUCCCGACUGUUUACCAUAAACACAGCACUCUGCUAACUCGUAAGAGGAUGUAUAGGGUGUGACGCCUGCCCGGUGCUCGAAGGUUAAUUGAUGAUGUUAGCUUACGCAAAGCAUCUGAUCGAAGCCCGAGUAAACGGCGGCCGUAACUAUAACGGUCCUAAGGUAGCGAAAUUCCUUGUCGGUUAAAUACCGACCUGCAUGAAUGGCGUAACGAGAUGGGAGCUGUCUCAAAGAGGGAUCCAGUGAAAUUGUAGUGGAGGUGAAAAUUCCUCCUACCCGCGGCAAGACGGAAAGACCCCGUGGACCUUUACUAUAGCUUGACACUGCUACUUGGAUAAAGAUGCGCAGGAUAGGUGGGAGGCUUUGAGUCGUAGAUCUCGGUUUACGAUGAGCCAUUGUUGAGAUACCACUCUUCUUUAUUCGGGUAGCUAACUAGCCUAAGUUAUCCUUAGGUAGGACAAUGUCUGGUGGGUAGUUUGACUGGGGCGGUCGCCUCCCAAAAUGUAACGGAGGCUUACAAAGGUUGGCUCAAAGCGGUUGGAAAUCGCUUGCAGAGUAUAAAGGCAAAAGCCAGCUUAACUGCGAGACAUACACGUCGAGCAGAGACGAAAGUCGGUCUUAGUGAUCCGGUGGUUCUGUGUGGAAGGGCCAUCGCUCAAAGGAUAAAAGGUACCCCGGGGAUAACAGGCUGAUCUCCCCCAAGAGCUCACAUCGACGGGGAGGUUUGGCACCUCGAUGUCGGCUCAUCGCAUCCUGGGGCUGGAGCAGGUCCCAAGGGUAUGGCUGUUCGCCAUUUAAAGCGGUACGCGAGCUGGGUUCAGAACGUCGUGAGACAGUUCGGUCCCUAUCUGCCGUGGGCGUAAGAAGAUUGAGGAGAGUUGACCCUAGUACGAGAGGACCGGGUUGAACCGACCACUGGUGUACCGGUUGUUCUGCCAAGAGCACCGCCGGGUAGCUAAGUCGGGAUGCGAUAAGAGCUGAAAGCAUCUAAGCUCGAAGCCGACUCCAAGAUGAAUCUUCUUUUAAGAGCUCUAGUAGACUACUAGUUUGAUAGGCCGGAUGUGUAAUGGAUGAAAGUCCUUUAGCUGACCGGUACUAAUAGCUCGUUUGCUUAUCUUUU